UCUUUAAAUGAAUUGAUUAUAAGAAGGGGUGGAAAUAGGCUAGGCCGAGCCGGGAUUUAGAAAAUUAGACACGGGCCUGUUAGGAAAAUCUAAAGCCUAGGCUUG